rnacentral:lncRNA from 1 species
GGUGUUGGGACUAUCCGUCCAACUUCACAUUUUUCAGGUGAAGUCAAUUUUCAUUGCGUAUUUUUUAUUUGGCCAAUCAUUUAUCUGUCCAAAUUUCAUGACAGAUUUGAGCUCAAGAUCCUCGUCAAUAUUAAUAAAAUUGAGCGCUACAUUAUAUUAACAAUAUCGUCGACGAUCAUUUUGCAUUGGUUCCAUCACCACUCAAUAAAGACAUAACUUAUCGAGAUCUCAUUAUUUUCAGGUACCUGAGCCUCUCCCAUGAGGUCUUAUAAAAUGUUAUGUCAUGGUGCUCUUAUAAAGCACUUGCCUCCUUAGUAUGACCAUCUUUAUCAUUUGCUCCUCUCCUUCUUCAAGUAGUUUUAUCUUUGGAACCGAUUGGUCUGUUACGCUUCUUGCGUGCCAUAGACUCUGUCCCUCAUGGACUUUAUUCUAUUUGGAGCAUUAGCAGCUGAAAUAUGACAUUUAGCUUUGGGUCAGCAAAUGUGUUUGGCAAUAAUUUGCAAAUGAAUUAUCACUUGAACUUUAAGUUCAUAUUUUCUUGUACGAGGAUCUAUAUUGUAUUCAUAAUAAUUCAUUCCACGUAUCACUUUCUUAGCU